rnacentral:rRNA from 1 species
UGCUCCUACGGGACGCAGCAGUGAGGAAUAUUGGUCAAUGGGCGGAAGCCUGAACCAGCCACGUCGCGUGAGGGAAUAAGGCCCUACGGGUCGUAAACCUCUUUUGCCGGGGAGCAAGGGCCGGGACGUGUCCCGGCCCGGAGAGUACCCGGAGAAAAAGCAUCGGCUAACUCCGUGCCAGCAGCCGCGGUAAUCCGGAGGAUGCGAGCGUUAUCCGGAUUUAUUGGGUUUAAAGGGUGCGUAGGCGGGCUCUUAAGUCAGCGGCA